rfam:Aedes albopictus isolate Foshan contig148849, whole genome shotgun sequence.
UGUUCUGUGACGGAGUUGGUUAACGCGCCCUGUCUAGCGAAAUUGGGGAGACGUGGGUUCAAAUCCCACCAGAACUA